AUGCUCAGCCUCCUUCCUGAGCUCGACACCUCGCCCGACGUCUUCUUCACCUCCUGCUCGAGUCCCCAGCAUCAGCCUCAGACAUCACCGCUGCUAGGAAUCACCAGGUCCGGCGACCCCUCGUCCAGCACGACGUCUCCAUCUUCGCCGGAGUUCCCCAUGAGCCUCCCCCUUGUUCGCAUCCACAGCCACCAGGCAUUGCCUCCUCGCACGCCCGUUCUUCUCCCAAAGUAUGCGCUGCCUCACCCGCCUAUCAAGAACACCAUGGCCGCCUCCCCAUGGAGUUCCAUCGGCCAGGAUCUGUCCGAGAACUAG
rnacentral:rRNA from 1 species